GGAUGGGCCCGAGGGCGGCGGGAGGAGCUGAAGCAGAGGAGACAACGCGCAGCCGGUCCGUCCCCGGGGUCGUCGUUUGAAAGGGACUCGAACUCUCCCGGCCGUCCCGGCGCUUCUGCCGGGAUGCCGCUGGGAAGGGAGAGCGCGGACCGAGUGAUGAUCCUACAGAUGGCCAGUCAGCAGAUCCCUGUGAAGCCUGCAACACAGAAGCACGAGCCAGGGAUAUCUCCAUGUGCACUGAGCGAUGUCUUCACACACGCAGUUGAGGAGUCAGACAUGAUCUUCAGUCUGAUACUGAAUAAUCUUGAGUAGUACUCAUCUAAAGCCAAGUUACAGCACAGCUGGGAGAUGUGUAACAAGAUGGAUUAAAAGCCUAGAACGGCAGCCAGCCAGCUUUCUCCUCAGUAUCACAGUAGUCAAUAUCACAAAAAUAAAUAAAUGGUCAUUUAAGGCAAUUGUAUAUAAGCACAAACAAUUAAAAUGUUUUGCAUACACAAUACAUAAUAUGCAAAUGAGUGACA